UGAGAACCAUGUAACCUUACUUCUCGAGACUGGAAGGCCCAUUUAUACACCUUCGUAUGCUUUUGCUGUCCUGAGGAGAUUCUUGCCUGAAGAAAAAGUAGAGUCCGUGAAGGAUCUUACUCUCACAGCUGAUGGAAAUGGCGUUGUAUUUGAUGUGGCAGCUGAAGAUCUGGAUACUUUCCUUGCCGGUACUUAAACCACAGAACUCAUCAGGGCUCCAAUGUCAAUAAGAGAAUGCAGCAAAUGUAAGCUUAGAGGUGGUAACAACAUUGCCGCGUCUC